AUUAUCCGUUUCUGUUUCUAGCGC
rnacentral:siRNA from 1 species